GGCUAUUCAAAAUUAUUUAAUUACAAGGCUAGAUAACUAGAAAAGAAUUUUCCAUUCAAAAUAGUUAGAAAGUAAUACACUGAUUAACAGGUUAUGAUUCUACAGCAGUGUCAUGGUCAAACAGAAAUGCCUUGACUCUUAUGGAUGCAUUAUCUAGACUCGAUGCUGGUUCAGAAUCUAUUUACAAACCAAUGUAAAAAUGUAAUUCAUCUUGAACUUUCUUCCCACAUCCAUUGGAGGUUUUCCCAAUCACCAGAUUUUCAUAAGACAGACAAGUAAAUCUCGCAGCACUAGCCCUAGGAAAGGAAAAACAUUUACGGUUUACAAACUAUCAACAUCAGAAAACUUACUUAAAACAAUUUUCAAAAAAUGCUGCUGUCCUUAUAAUGGUCCACCUCAGAAGCCAGAUCCGUAUAAGUUUUUUCAACAGAAAUUCAGGUUCGGGAUAGGAUCAUCAUAGGUAAGACCAAGGACACAAUGUUUACUGAUUUUGAAGCAAAACAUCUCUACUCACAGAAAUGUUUCCACCUUCAAAAUGUCACAGCACACCAGGCAGACAGCAGGCAGACAGCAACCCCUCACUGUUGGCACAGAAAACCCCACUCUGUGAAUUAAGUUUUUCCUCUAUGAGACAUAACCUAACAGAAAUCUGUUAUAAAACUUGUUCUCAUAUCUGAACAUUAGUCUUGUCUCAGAAGCCGAAUCCGUACAUGCUUUUCUUCAGGUUAUCAGCUUCGGGAUAGGGUUCAUCAUUGAUCAGACCAAAAUCCAUUAUGCUACAUUACACGGACAUUUACCACAAACCAGACAGAAUUACUGCAGCAGAUGUAAGUCAGGGUAACUUACUUUAAAAUGAAGCUGCUCAGUGACAUCCACAGCUUCAUUAGUAUUCAUCAACCUGCAGAAUGCUGGUAAGAUCAUCAGGUUUUAACCAAGUCAUUUUCCAGCCAAUAUUGUCCGGCGUGUUUUGAAAUGUACCUUUGCAUCUUAGCAUCUCCACGUAACAGUUCCGCUACACCGAAAUCCAUUGUUUCUGCGGGAGAAUCAAUUUCUUAACCUAGCAGCUAUGAUCUGCUCCCAAGUUCCGACGUAAAAGACCG
rnacentral:lncRNA from 1 species